rnacentral:lncRNA from 1 species
UUCCUAGUAUGUGCUCUGUGUUAAGAUACGCCUACCGUCUCAGAAUGGCGUCCAGUGAUGAUGGUUCUUGCUGUGCGCCUGCGCAGAGCGCUCAGUCUCGUGAACGGCUCACUACCAACUCAUAUUUGCUACGGGUGGUGGUGGCAAGGAAAAGCAAACCACCACUGUGAACAACGACAUCAUCCCUUCCCUGAGAAGGAUUGUAUGCCUUUCAUCAGAUGCUGUGAAUCCCGAACUCACUGAUUCCCAUAAGCAGAGGACCGACUUUAACACGUCCCUAGGGUGGGUUGACAUACGAACCACACAACCAAACAACUGAAGGCAGCUGAAGAAAAUGCCAAUGAAGUGGACGCGGUAAGACACGUGCGUGCCCACAGUCACAUGCAGAAGGACUGGCAUCACCAAAACCAAUAUACCCUAAAGUCAGAUCC